rnacentral:rRNA from 3 species
UACGGGGGGGGCAAGCGUUGUUCGGAAUUACUGGGCGUAAAGGGCUCGUAGGCGGCCAACUAAGUCACACGUGAAAUCCCUCGGCUCAACCGGGGAACUGCGUGUGAGACUGGAUGGCUUGAGUUUGGGAGAGGAAUGCGGAAUUCCAGGUGUAGCGGUGAAAUGCGUAGAUAUCUGGAGGAACACCGGUGGCGAAGGCGGCAUUCUGGACCAACACUGACGCUGAGGAGCGAAAGCCAGGGGAGCAAACGGG